AAUUUUCGGCAAUGGGGGCAACCCUGACCGAGCGACGCCGCGUGAGUGAAGAAGGUCUUCGGAUUGUAAAGCUCUGUUGUAAGGGAAGAACCGUACCAGUAGGGAAUGACUGGUACCUGACGGUACCUUACCAGCAAGCCACGGCUAACUACGCGCCAGCAGCCGCGGUAAUACGUAGGGGGCAAGCGUUGUCCGGAAUUAUUGGGCGUAAAGGGUGCGUAGGCGGCCUUUUAAGUCAGAUGUGAAAGACCACGGCUUAACCGUGGGGUUGCAUUUGAAACUGGAGGGCUUGAGUAUCGGAGAGGGUAGUGGAAUUCCCAGUGUAGCGGUGGAAUGCGUAGAUAUUGGGAGGAACACCAGUGGCGAAGGCGACUACCUGGACGAAAACCGACGCUGAGGCACGAAAGCUAGGGGAGCAAACA
rnacentral:rRNA from 1 species